rnacentral:lncRNA from 1 species
ACUAGAUAAGAUUUUUUUCUAUACUCCAUUGAAUACUUCGGUAGAACUGAGUAAAGUUUGUUGCAGAAUAAAGUUGGAAGUUAUCCAAUCAAUCUUGUGUAUAACAAAUGCUCAGACAAGAAACUAGUAGGCUGAGUAAAGGUCACUGCAUAAGAGAUGCUCGGAGCGGGAUUUUUGUGUCUAUAAAGAUUUUCGGAUGAUCUGAAUAUU